rnacentral:rRNA from 1 species
GUGGGGAAUUUUGGACAAUGGGCGCAAGCCUGAUCCAGCCAUUCCGCGUGCAGGAUGAAGGCCUUCGGGUUGUAAACUGCUUUUGUACGGAACUAAAAGCCUCUGGUUAAUACCCGGGGGUCAUGACGGUACCGUAAGAAUAAGCACCGGCUAACUACGUGCCAGCAGCCGCGGUAAUACGUAGGGUGCGAGCGUUAAUCGGAAUUACUGGGCGUAAAGCGUGCGCAGGCGGUGAUGUAAGACAGUUGUGAAAUCCCCGGGCUCAACCUGGGAACUGCAUCUGUGACUGCAUUGCUGGAGUGCGGCAGAGGGGGAUGGAAUUCCGCGUGUAGCAGUGAAAUGCGUAGAUAUGCGGAGGAACACCGAUGGCGAAGGCAAUCCCCUGGGCCUGCACUGACGCUCAUGCACGAAAGCGUGGGGAGCAAACAGGAUUAGAUACCCGGGUAGUCC